GAGCACGUAGGUGGGUUUGUAAGUCAGAUGUGAAAGCCUCCUGUUCAACGGGAGAAUUGCAUCUGAAACUACUGAUCUUGAGUGUAGGAGGGGAGAAUGGAACUUCUGGUGGAGCGGUGAAAUGCGUAGAUAUCAGAAGGAACGCCGGCGGCGAAAGCGAUUCUCUGGCCUAUUACUGACACUCAGUGUGCGAAAGCUAGGGGAGCAAACGGGAUUAGAUACCCCGGUAGCCCUAGCCGUAAACGAUGGGCACUAAGUAGAGGGGUUAG
rnacentral:rRNA from 1 species